AGUGAACGCUGGCGGUAGGCCUAACACAUGCAAGUCGAACGGCAGCACAGUAAGAGCUUGCUCUUACGGGUGGCGAGUGGCGGACGGGUGAGGUAUACAUCGGAAUCUACUUUUUCGUGGGGGAUAACGUAGGCAAACUUACGCUACUACCGCAUACGACCUACGGGUGAAAGCAGGGGAUCUUCGGACCUUGCGCGAUUGAAUGAGCCGAUGUCGGAUUAGCUAGUUGGCGGGGUAAAGGCCCACCAAGGCGACGAUCCGUAGCUGGUCUGAGAGGAUGAUCAGCCACACUGGAACUGAGACACGGUCCAGACUCCUACGGGAGGCAGCAGUGGGGAAUAUUGGACAAUGGGCGCAAGCCUGAUCCAGCCAUACCGCGUGGGUGAAGAAGGCCUUCGGGUUGUAAAGCCCUUUUGUUGGGAAAGAAAAGCAGCAGGUUAAUACCCCGCUGUUCUGACGGUACCCAAAGAAUAAGCACCGGCUAACUUCGUG
rnacentral:rRNA from 1 species